UACGUAGGGGGCUAGCGUUGUCCGGAAUCAUUGGGCGUAAAGCGCGCGUAGGCGGCCCGGUAAGUCCGCUGUGAAAGUCAAAGGCUCAACCUUUGAAUGUCAGCGGAUACUGCCAGGCUAGAGUCCGGAAGAGGCGAGUGGAACUCCUGGUGUAGCGGUGGAAUGCGCAGAUAUCAGGAAGAACACCAACGGCGAAGGCAGCUCGCUGGGACGGAACUGACGCUAAGGCGCGAAAGCGUGGGGAGCGAACGAGG
rnacentral:rRNA from 1 species